rnacentral:rRNA from 1 species
AUUGAACGCUGGCGGCAUGCCUUACACAUGCAAGUCGAACGGCAGCACGGGGCAACCUGGUGGCGAGUGGCGAACGGGUGAGUAAUGCAUCGGAACGUACCUUUCAGUGGGGCAUAACGUAGCGAAAGUUACGCUAAUACCGCAUAUUCUGUGAGCAGGAAAGCAGGGGAUCGCAAGACCUUGCGCUGAUUGAGCGGCCGAUGUCAGAUUAGCUAGUUGGUGAGGUAAAGGCUCACCAAGGCGACGAUCUGUAGCGGGUCUGAGUGGAUGAUCCGCCACACUGGAACUGAGACACGGUCCAGACUCCUACGGGAGGCAGCAGUGGGGAAUUUUGGACAAUGGGGGCAACCCUGAUCCAGCCAUGCCGCGUGAGUGAAGAAGGCCUUCGGGUUGUAAAGCUCUUUCGGCCGGGAAGAAAUCGCACGGGCUAAUACCCUGUGUGGAUGACGGUACCGGAAUAAGAAGCACCGGCUAACUACGUGCCAGCCGCCGCAGUAAUAC